UCUACUUCGUUAAUUCAUUGACCCAUGUCUCUGUCUUGGUAUAUUCUGGAGACAGAUCCCCACGUCCAGAGUUACAAGAAGAUCAAGCUUGGCGGUGGCUGCUGCUGUGUUGCCUCCUCUUGUUGGACCGAAGAGAGGGAGGGGAGAAGCAGCUGGCGUGCAGACUUCUACUCAGGUGGUCUUUUAUUCUCUAUGGGGCUUCUAGGAUACAUCUUCUCCAGAAGCACCAUAAGUCUUGUCUUGGGCAUUACACCAGGGCUAGCCACUCUACAACUUGGCACUCUCAGUCUGAAGUUCUAGAGGAGCGGCAGAUCCAGCUUCCUGCUUAUCUUGGCUCAGGCAGGUAGAAUGAAUUUUAAGCAACUAUUUAUAUGGGACCUGGAAGUCUUUUUAUGUCUUCUAGUGUACUUCACUAUGCACUUAUUUCUAUCUCAAGAAUUGCUGCUAUGAUUAGUCAGCGGUUAGUGACACUUGUUUU